CCUCCUUUUUUUCUUCUCCUCCUUUCCCGCUCCCUCGCCGCCGCUCCCACUUCCCCCUUUUCCUCCUUCCUCUCCACUUACCUCUGUCACCCACUACACUCUGUCCCCCCGCUCCUCUCUCUCUUCGUCACAAGAAACCCUAAAAUUCGCCCUAUAUAGAUAUAAUCGUUGUCCAAGUCAAAGGGGGGGAUCCCUGAAAAAUGUUAAUUUCGCAGCAGUCACGAUAUUCUGGGAUCAAUUUAACAUACUAAAUCAGUUUUUCUUUCCUGUGAUAUUUCCCCCUUGGUAUUGCGUUGAAUCCGAGGUAUGCAAGUUCAGAUUCGACAAGUUCGAGUGUAGAUUUAAGACCCCGUCUCAGUUCGCUGCAAUCGGAAAAGAGUCUUAGUUUGGGACUUUAUCAAAACAAAGUCUCAAGAUGAGACUUGGCACAUCCCUCCACGUAGUCCUCUCGUGUCGCAAUUCUCAAGUCAUCUCGGGCAGGCGAAACUCGUUAGAGAUCCCCUGCAACAUUUUACUUUUUUUCAUCGUUCGUUUAUUCUCAUCCAUCUUUAUGAUUGCUAAUUUGUCUGUGGUUUGAAAGUAUGUGUGUAACUUAUGAUUCACGUAGGAUUAGAAUGGGUAAAUUUUCUCAUUUAGGAUUACCGCUCUGCACAUCAAGUACUUAUUUUCACCAAAUAGAGAGGCAUCAUUCAUAUAAUAA